rnacentral:rRNA from 1 species
UUUCCAGACUCCUACGGGAGGCAGCAGUGAGGAAUAUUGGUCAAUGGGCGCGAGCCUGAACCAGCCAAGUAGCGUGAAGGAUGACUGCCCUACGGGUUGUAAACUUCUUUUAUAAAGGAAUAAAGUGAGGCACGUGUGCCUUUUUGUAUGUACCAUAUGAAUAAGCAUCGGCUAACUCCGUGCCAGCAGCCGCGGUAAUACGGAGGAUGCGAGCGUUAUCCGGAUUUAUUGGGUUUAAAGGGUGCGUAGGUGGUUAAUUAAGUCAGCGGUGAAAGUUUGUGGCUCAACCAUAAAAUUGCCGUUGAAACUGGUUGACUUGAGUAUAUUGGAGGUAGGCGGAAUGCGUGGUGUAGCGGUGAAAAGCAUAGAUAUCACGCAGAACACCGAUUGCGAAGGCAGCUUA